rnacentral:rRNA from 1 species
AGUGACGCUGGCGGUAGGCCUAACACAUGCAAGUCGAACGGCAGCACCGUAAGAGCUUGCUCUUACGGGUGGCGAGUGGCGGACGGGUGAGGAAUACAUCGGAAUCUACUUUUUCGUGGGGGAUAACGUAGGGAAACUUACGCUAAUACCGCAUACGACCUACGGGUGAAAGCAGGGGAUCUUCGGACCUUGCGCGAUUGAAUGAGCCGAUGUCGGAUUAGCUAGUUGGCGGGGUAAAGGCCCACCAAGGCGACGAUCCGUAGCUGGUCUGAGAGGAUGAUCAGCCACACUGGAACUGAGACACGGUCCAGACUCCUACGGGAGGCAGCAGUGGGGAAUAUUGGACAAUGGGCGCAAGCCUGAUCCAGCCAUACCGCGUGGGUGAAGAAGGCCUUCGGGUUGUAAAGCCCUUUUGUUGGGAAAGAAAAGCAGCAGGUUAAUACCCCGCUGUUCUGACGGUACCCAAAGAAUAAGCACCGGCUAACUUCGUG